GAUUGAACGCUGGCGGCAGGCCUAACACAUGCAAGUCGAGCGGAUGAAGGGAGCUUGCUCCUGGAUUCAGCGGCGGACGGGUGAGUAAUGCCUAGGAAUCUGCCUGGUAGUGGGGGAUAACGUCCGGAAACGGGCGCUAAUACCGCAUACGUCCUGAGGGGGAAAGUGGGGGAUCUUCGGACCUCACGCUAUCAGAUGAGCCUAGGUCGGAUUAGCUAGUUGGUGGGGUAAAGGCCUACCAAGGCGACGAUCCGUAACUGGUCUGAGAGGAUGAUCAGUCACACUGGAACUGAGACACGGUCCAGACUCCUACGGGAGGCAGCAGUGGGGAAUAUUGGACAAUGGGCGAAAGCCUGAUCCAGCCAUGCCGCGUGUGUGAAGAAGGUCUUCGGAUUGUAAAGCACUUUAAGUUGGGAGGAAGGGCAGUAAGUUAAUACCUUGCUGUUUUGACGUUACCAACAGAAUAAGCACCGGCUAACUUCGUG
rnacentral:rRNA from 1 species